GAGUUUGAUCAUGGCUCAGGAUGAACGCUAGCGGCAGGCCUAAUACAUGCAAGGCGAACGGCAAGGGCAGUAGCAAUACGGCCCCCAGAGUGCCGCAAGGGUGCGCAACGCGUAUGCAACCUGCCCCGUGCAGGCGGACAGCCCCCCGAAAGGGGGAUUAACCCGCCAUGGCGCCAGAGGGUGGCAUCACCUUUUGGCUAAAUUACAAGAGGCACGGGAUGGGCAUGCGUCCGAUUAGCUAGUUGGCGGGGUAACGGCCCACCAAGGCAUUGAUCGGUAGGGGACCUGAGAGGGUGAUCCCCCACACUGGCACUGAGAUACGGGCCAGACUCCUACGGGAGGCAGCAGUAGGGAAUAUUGGACAAUGGGCGAGAGCCUGAUCCAGCCAUGCCGCGUGCAGGAAGAAGGCCUUCUGGGUUGUAAACUGCUUUUGCCGGGGGAUAAAAUACCCAUGCGUGGGGAAUUGAAGGUACCCGGUGAAUAAGCCACGGCUAACUACGUGCCAGCAGCCGCGGUA
rnacentral:rRNA from 1 species